UCUGAGCGCUUACGGGCUAGCUUAUUGGCGAGAGCACCUCCAGCAUGGAAGGGGCUGUGCAUCCUGCUUGCCUGGCCCAUUUAGCUUUCCUCCCACUGGGGCUUUGCCUCUGCAGCUUUCAAAAGGUUCCAGACAUCAGCAUGGGCGCCAGGCUACCGCGUUCCCCAGGUCCAGAGACAAGUUUGACCAUCUAUUGAAUGGAAAUAUGGGAUCCAUGUUUGAUAAUAUUGGCAAGAUACUACAAUGAUAAAGCAAGUUUCAAAAAGCUGAGUUGAGAAGCUGAACAUGCUGACUGACCUUAAUUUUUGCUAUCCAAUUAUUUAUCUUGAUCUCACUCUCUGACUUCAUACUUCUCAACCUGGUCAAUGAAUUUGUCGUAAACUUCC